rnacentral:tRNA from 1 species
CACAAUGUAGCUUAACCAAAAGCACCUCGCUUACACCGAGCAGAUAUCCAUUAAUUUCGGAUCAUUUUGA